rnacentral:rRNA from 1 species
AGUGAACGCUGGCGGUAGGCCUAACACAUGCAAGUCGAACGGCAGCACAGUAAGAGCUUGCUCUUACGGGUGGCGAGUGGCGGACGGGUGAGGAAUACAUCGGAAUCUACUUUUUCGUGGGGGAUAACGUAGGGAAACUUACGCUAAUACCGCAUACGACCUACGGGUGAAAGCAGGGGAUCUUCGGACCUUGCGCGAUUGAAUGAGCCGAUGUCGGAUUAGCUAGUUGGCGGGGUAAAGGCCCACCAAGGCGACGAUCCGUAGCUGGUCUGAGAGGAUGAACGCACAAAGUGGAACUGAAAAGGGGCCAGGACCCUGAGGGGGGGCAGAGGGGGGAAAUAUGGGAGAAGGGGGGCAGGCUGGAUCAAGCUAUACGGGGGGGGGAAAGAAGGCUUUGGGGUGUAAAGCUCUUUUGGUGGGAAAAAAAAAGCAGAAGUUGAAUACCCCGUUGUUGGGACGGAACCAAACGAAGAAGACCCGGAUAACUUCGUG